AAAUUGUUUUCGAAUUGUUGAGAGCAGAAGAGCCGUUAAGUUAGUUUUGUGAUCGAUCUCCAUUAGUCACAAGAUGCGCCGUUCCAAUGUGUCUAACAUCCAAAAGCCUACUACUGGUAAUGCACCGAGUAAACGUUCUCGUGUGCAAACUACUGAUCAGCCAUGUCC